GGGGGUCCCGGGGCAGGUUUGGGGGUCCCCGGGCAGGUUUGGAGGUCCUGGGGAAGGUUUGGGGGUCCUGGGGGUCCCAAGGCAGGUUUGGGGGUCCCAGGGAAGGUUUGGAGGUCCUGGGGGUCCCAGGGCAGGUCUGGGGAUCCCAGGGCAGGUUUGGAAGUCCUGGGGGUCCUCCAGGGCAGGUCUGGGGGUCCCGGGGCAGGUUUAGGGAUCCCAGGGCAGGUUUGGAAGUCUUGGGGGUCCCCCAGGGCAAGUUUAGGGAUCCCAGGGCAGGUUUGGAAGUCCUGCGGGUCCCAGGGCAGGUCUGGGGGUCCCAGGGCAGGUUUAGGGAUCCCAGGGCAGGUUUGGGGGUCCCGGGGGGAGGGGGGCUCAUCCCAUUUCCCGGGCAGGGGGUGCCCAUCUUUGGGCUCCCGUUUUUGGGGAGUCACCGCCUUUUCCCC